UGCAUCGGCCGGGAAUUGAACCCUGGGCCCGUGUGGCAGGCGAGCAUUCUACCACUGAAACAAAAGC